rnacentral:rRNA from 1 species
CCAACACUGGGACUGAGACACUGCCCAGACUUCUACGGAAGGCUGCAGUCGAGAAUCUUUCGCAAUGGACGAAAGUCUGACGAAGCGACGCCGCGUGUGUGAUGAAGGCUCUAGGGUUGUAAAGCACUUUCGCUUGGGAAUAAGAGAAGUUGGCUAAUAUCCAACUGAUUUGAGCGUACCAGGAAAAGAAGCACCGGCUAACUC